UCUCCGUAGGUGAACUUGCGGAGGGAUCACUAACGAGUGAGGGCUCACGCCCGACCUCCCACCCUUUGUGAACCCAUCUUGUUGCUUCGGGGGCGACCCUGCCGGCACUCUGUCGCCGGGCGCCCCCGAAGGUCUCCCAACACUGCAUCUUUGCGUCGGAGUUUAAAACAAAUGAAACAAAACUUUCAACAACGGAUCUCUUGGUUCUGGCAUCGAUGAAGAACGCAGC
rnacentral:misc_RNA from 1 species